rnacentral:tRNA from 82 species
GCGCCCGUAGCUCAGCUGGAUAGAGUACUGCCCUCCGAAGGCAGGGGUCGGACGUUCGAAUCGUCUCGGGCGCGCCA